AAAUAUUACAGACUUCUCUGAACCACUUACGAUCCAGUUCGCCGUGCAUGUUGGUGCGUUCUAUGGUAGCGUUGCUGUUAUUGCCGCAAGUGCUGUUACUGGUGCUGGUGCUGCUGUCGUUGCUGCUGCUCCUACAAUCUCAGCUGUACCAUUCCCGAUGCACUACCCGUGUUUCGCUGUACUUGAAUGCCCAGUAGCUACGAUCGCCAUCCGCUGUAGGUCACUACUUACUACUGCCAAACCAAUGCCCUUCGCGGUGUUGCCUGUUCGAGUUACUGCUGUUACUGUCCUCAGAGCCGUCAACAAAUGCUGUAAGCAAAAAAAAACUCAGUGAACAAGAUAAGAGCUGCUCUGUCCAUCCCUCCAUCCAUCCAUCCAUCCAUACUUACAGCCAUCGUUUAACCAAUGAUCGGGCUCGCUCUGCCUGUCCUGCUGUCUGCUUUGUUCAUGAU